rnacentral:rRNA from 1 species
AAUGGAGGCAACUCUGACGCAGCCAUGCCGCGUGCAGGAUGACGGUCCUAUGGAUUGUAAACUGCUUUUUUACAGGAAGAACCCCUCCGACGUGUCGGGGGCUGACGGUACUGUAUGAAUAAGCAUCGGCUAACUCCGUGCCAGCAGCCGCGGUAAUACGGAGGAUGCAAGCGUUAUCCGGAUUUAUUGGGUUUAAAGGGUGCGUAGGCGGGUUAUUAAGUCAGUGGUGAAAUGCUGCAGCUUAACUGUAGACUUGCCAUUGAUACUGAUGAUCUUGAGUACGGUUGAAGUAGGCGGAAUGUGUAAUGUAGCGGUGAAAUGCUUAGAUAUUACACAGAACACCGAUUGCGUAGGCAGCUUACUAAGCCGUAACUGACGCUGAGGCACGAAAGUGUGGGGAUCGAA